UGAACGAAAACACAUUCCUGUUAAAGAAUCAACGUUACUGAAGAAUGUUCGACAAGGACGAAUCUUUGCUGAACAACGAAACGAGAAAACAGCGUCAGUCAAGAUUGAUUGUCAAACAUAAUAGGUGAAUUCUACAACGAAGCAAGGGAUAUCGAAAAAGCAAAACGAACGAACAGAAAGGCAAACAUGCAGCUCAUCAUAGCACUAGUUUUGACUGGACUCAUCUCUUCAGAAGUGGAGAUAAGAAAAGGUGCCCUGUUAAAAAGACAUGGAAAAGUCAAAAUGAUCAAGGACCUUGGAAUAGUUAGUAUAGAUAUUUCCACAGUGUUCAAACGUGAAAGUGAACUAAGAGAAAUCCAAAAUGGUAUUAAAGCAAUCCUACAGAAGGGUGAUAAUAACAGUGCCAUGUAAUUAUUGGAAAAGUUGAGCAUGAACAUAGAUAACACACUGACAACAAGGUCCAAAAGAUCCCUCUUACUCUUCAUUGGAACUGCUCUAAAUCAGUUGUUUGGGAUCGCUACGAAGAAAAUGUAGAACUAGAAAAGGAAAGAAUUGACAGACUGGAAAAGUGGGCAGCCGCAAGGGGUACAGUGAUAAAUAAAGUGACUACCUCUCACAAUCAAAAUGCAGAACAAGUAGAAAAAUUAAAAGUAUUCAUAAGUCAAGUGAAUCAGAAUGUAACAAAAGAACUCAAUAAGAUAGAAAAUAUAGUGUUUAAAUACCUUUGCACUGGAAAGUGAAGUGAUGUUACAAGAACAUAAAGACAUACUGAAUGCUGUCUUACUUGCUUACAAAGGUAUUUUGAGCCUAACACUUAUCACUCCAAAGGAAUUAGAAGGCAUUAAUAAAUAGUUUUAUAUAAUUGAGAAGCAUUGCACACCUUUAGUAGAAGAUAUUUUCAUGCACUAUAAUUUGAUAGGUGCCAAAGUAACCCAUGACAGAAUUAUUUUAGUUCUAUCUUUCAAUACGAAAAUUUCAAAUGUGCUAGUUUCUGUAUAUCCCUUUCCUUUGUAUAUUGAAAAUCAGAUCAUUAUUAGAAAUGGGCUUAGUAUUCAUUUUGCAUUGGAAGAACGUGGAUUAAUGUUAGCCUUUUUAACUGAUGAAUAAUUCAAUGAAUGUGUAAUUUUGAAGGAAAAAGAGUAUAUAUGUUAUAUUGAUAACUUAUAUAAGACUACCAAUGAUCAUCCCUGUAUACAAGAGUUGAUUUUAAAACAAAAUCAAGAAAAGGAUAUGUGUACACAGUCAUUUAAUAAGUCAUUUGAAGCAACUAUAGUGAAGGAAGACAUUUUUGUAUUUUCAUUACAUACUAUUAUAGCCAUAGUCACUUGUCUUAAUAUCACCACCCAACUGAGCAAGUCUUAUGCAACAUCAUGUAAGUUAGGUAUACAAUAUCACUUAUACUAUGAACCACAACUUUUCACUGAAUACCUUUUCAACAAAUAUAUGCCAUAUAAGAAUUACACAUUUGCAAUUGAUGAGUUUAAAUUGUCUCAGCUAGAAUUAAAGGAACUUGAGACCUUGAAUUAUGUUGAUGACUAUCACUUGUAUACGAAACAGAUAGCACCAUUUCUUUCAUUUGUAAAUCUGCUGAUAAUAGUAGUCACUAUUGUGUUGUUUGUCAUCAUAGUGAGGCAUUUUUUUAUCAAAAAGAUACAAGGGAAAAGAAAUUAUCCAUAAUUGACAUUUAAUAUCCACAUCAUUUUUAACAUUUUUUCUCAGAUAAUGUAUUCUGACUAAUAAUUUAUUAUGCUUAUGCUUUAAUACAUUUUUAAUCUCACAUAUUUA